GUGGGCCCUCGAAAUCCCGUUGCGGGGGGAUUCAGUCGGGAGGAGCGCGGGGAUCUCCGCGGCCGUCGGCACCGACCCUCAGCAGGGCGGAGCCGCGGUCUUGGUCCCCGUCCCGUCCGACGCACUUCCCCCCGCACAGAGGACGCCGCAGCCGGUUCGGCAGCGUGCUGCGCGAGUCUGCCGUGAGGGCGGGCCAGGCAGGUGGCGGAGCUCCGGUCCCCGCGACCGCUGCACCGUCGUUAGCCGGCCCGAUCCGUGGCGAGACGCCGGACCGAGGCGAACGGUCUCCCAUCCCGGGAGACCCCGCCGUCCCCCGCUUCCCAGGCGGCGCGAACCUGACCGGCCGGUGCCUGGCGCGGCGACGCGGUGCCACCCGAGCGCGGUGGCCCGCGCGUCGGGCUCCCCGGAGGCCGGAGGUGAUCGCGCGGGGGUGGUCAGACGGCUGGCGGCGAGUAGGUCGGUCACCCACCCGACCCGUCUUGAAACACGGACCAAGGAGUCCAACAUGCGCGCGAGUCGCCGGGUCUUGAACAGGCCCGGGGGCGCAAUGAAGGUGAGGGGGUCCGAGCAGGAUCCCGAAGUCGGGACCCGGGAUGCGACGUCCCGGGGCACCGACGGCGCGUGCCGACCCGGUUCCGCAAGGUUCCGGAGGGGCGCAGCCGGAGCGCGCACGUUGGG
rnacentral:rRNA from 1 species